UUUCCCUGCCCACAAUGAGCUUACAGUCUAUAGUACUUUCCCAAGCACUUAAUACAGUGCUUUGCACACAAUAAAUGCUCAAUAAAUAACAUUGAUGUGAUGAUGAUGAUGAUCCCUGUAGACUGUAAGCUCGUUGUGGGCAGGGAAC
rnacentral:pre_miRNA from 1 species